UUUAUCCAAUCUUCAAUUUAAAUAUUUUUCAAUGUUCUGAAUCCUGACUAUAUUUGCGGAUAAAACUGAUGAUCGAGGUUUGCCUUGAAUCUGGUCCAGUGUAGGUAGUGUCAAUUAAAAGAAAUCAAAGCCUCGGAUUGAUAGACGUUAAUUCCUUAAGUUUGCCCUUAAGAAUCAUAUAAGGGUAUCGAUAGCUUUGAAUUAUUAUUGUGAUCAGUAAAUUGUAUAAUUUCUAUAUAUGAAUUUAAAAUCCUAACUAGAUCUUUUAUAUAUGAUUUUUCUUACUCCAAGUAGCUUUUAGUCUAAUUUAGACGUUUUAAAGUAGAAUUAAAAACUUUGUAUAUAUUGUAUUUGAGGGCCACAGGUUUUCCAGUUGUAUUGUUGUCAUGUAUUCAUUCAUUCUGAUUCAUUCAUGCAACUACCUGAAAAAUACAACGAGAGCUUCGACGUUUG